GUGCUCACUUCAGCAGCACAUGUAUUAAAAUUGGAACAAUGCAGAGAUUAGCACGGCCCCUGCACAAAGGAUUACACGUAAAAUCUCUACCUGUGCCUCCAUUCU